rnacentral:rRNA from 1 species
AUUGAACGCUGGCGGCAGGCCUAACACAUGCAAGUCGAGCGGAUGACGGGAGCUUGCUCCUUGAUUCAGCGGCGGACGGGUGAGUAAUGCCUAGGAAUCUGCCUGGUAGUGGGGGACAACGUUUCGAAAGGAACGCUAAUACCGCAUACGUCCUACGGGAGAAAGCAGGGGACCUUCGGGCCUUGCGCUAUCAGAUGAGCCUAGGUCGGAUUAGCUAGUUGGGGGGGUAAUGGCUCACCAAGGCGACGAUCCGUAACUGGUCUGAGAGGAUGAUCAGUCACACUGGAACUGAGACACGGUCCAGACUCCUACGGGAGGCAGCAGUGGGGAAUAUUGGACAAUGGGCGAAAGCCUGAUCCAGCCAUGCCGCGUGUGUGAAGAAGGUCUUCGGAUUGUAAAGCACUUUAAGUUGGGAGGAAGGGCAGUAAGUUAAUACCUUGCUGUUUUGACGUUACCGACAGAAUAAGCACCGGCUAACUCUGUGCCAGCAGCCGCCGUAAUAC